ACGGGAGGCAGCAGUGGGGAAUAUUGCACAAUGGGGGAAACCCUGAUGCAGCGAUGCCGCGUGGAGGAAGAAGGUUUUCGGAUUGUAAACUCCUGUCUUAAGGGACGAUAAUGACGGUACCUUAGGAGGAAGCUCCGGCUAACUACGUGCCAGCAGCCGCGGUAAUACGUAGGGAGCGAGCGUUGUCCGGAAUUACUGGGUGUAAAGGGAGCGUAGGCGGGAUGGCAAGUCAGAUGUGAAAACUAUGGGCUCAACCCAUAGACUGCAUUUGAAACUGUUGUUCUUGAGUGAAGUAGAGGUAAGCGGAAUUCCUAGUGUAGCGGUGAAAUGCGUAGAUAUUAGGAGGAACAUCGGUGGCGAAGGCGGCUUACUGGGCUUUUACUGACGCUGAGGCUCGAAAGCGUGGGGAGCAAACAGGAUUAGAUACCCUGGUA
rnacentral:rRNA from 1 species